rnacentral:rRNA from 1 species
UACGGGGGGGGCUAGCGUUGUUCGGAAUUAUUGGGCGUAAAGAGCUCGUAGGCGGUCUGUCGCGUCUGCUGUGAAAACUCGGGGCUUAACCCCGGGCCUGCAGUGGGUACGGGCAGACUAGAGUGCGGUAGGGGAGACUGGAAUUCCUGGUGUAGCGGUGAAAUGCGCAGAUAUCAGGAGGAACACCGGUGGCGAAGGCGGGUCUCUGGGCCGAUACUGACGCUGAGGAGCGAAAGCGUGGGGAGCGAACAGG